GAAGUAUUUUCCUUUGGGGUAUUUAAUACUGUCGGUCAAAAAUUUGUCUGCUUAAAUAUUUCUGGAUGAAAAUUAAAAGUGUUAGAUUGACUUUUUAUAUCCCUUUCCCCUUAAUGGUUUUAAACCUGCAGAUAGACAUAUAAUUAUUUAUAAGUCAUUAAACAAUAGACUUGAUAAUUACAAAACAAAUGGUAAUUGUAAACCAGAGCGGAAACUUAAGAUACCUAAUUGAACUCG